rnacentral:rRNA from 1 species
UACAGAGGUCCCAAGCGUUGUUCGGAUUCAUUGGGCGUAAAGGGUGCGUAGGCGGCGCGGUAAGUCGAGUGUGAAAUCUCGGAGCUUAACUUCGAAACUGCAUUCGAUACUGCCGUGCUUGAGGACUGGAGAGGAGACUGGAAUUUACGGUGUAGCGGUGAAAUGCGUAGAUAUCGUAAGGAAGACCAGUGGCGAAGGCGGGUCUCUGGGCCGAAACUGACGCUGAGGAGCGAAAGCGUGGGGAGCGAACAGG